CUACGGGCGGCACCAGUGGGGAAUAUUGCACAAUGGGCGCAAGCCUGAUGCAGCCAUGCCGCGUGUAUGAAGAAGGCCUUCGGGUUGUAAAGUACUUUCAGCGGGGAGGAAGGGAGUAAAGUUAAUACCUUUGCUCAUUGACGUUACCCGCAGAAGAAGCACCGGCUAACUCCGUGCCAGCAGCCGCGGUAAUACGGAGGGUGCAAGCGUUAAUCGGAAUUACUGGGCGUAAAGCGCACGCAGGCGGGUUGUUAAGUCAGAUGUGAAAUCCCCGGGCUCAACCUGGGAACUGCAUCUGAUACUGGCAAGCUUGAGUCUCGUAGAGGGGGGUAGAAUUCCAGGUGUAGCGGUGAAAUGCGUAGAGAUCUGGAGGAAUACCGGUGGCGAAGGCGGCCCCCUGGACGAAGACUGACGCUCAGGUGCGAAAGCGUGGGGAGCAAACAGGAUUAGAUACCCCAGUAGUC
rnacentral:rRNA from 1 species